CACACUAAACCGGAUCCACCUAUUGUAGAUGUUUGGUUCUAGUGUAGUCACACACCAGAUGUAUAAUCAUAUCCCUGCAAAUUAAAGUGAAAACUAAGGCUGAUCGUAUGUGUUUGCUUCUUAAUUAGUGUAAAUGAAGAGUAAUAACUUUGAUAAGGCAAUCUCUAAUACGUAUUCUUUUUCUUACACACUUUUGUAUCUAUUAAAAUCUAAAACAAUUCUAAGAAAUCGUCUUAAAAUGUGUGAUAUUGGUAUUUUUGUAAUAAAGAGGAAGACAACGACGGUUUCCAUAUAAUCGUCUUUGUAGAAUAAGAAAAUAGAGGCACAAUGACAAAUGUGUAAAUUGCAUGUUUUGUACAAAGACAGUUUAAAUCCAAAAAUCGUCUUUGUUUGCUUGCUGAUUUUUGGGCCUCAAUGACUCAGUCCUUCAUUCACUCUCUGAAUCCUUCACUCACUAACCCCGUCGUCUCCCGUGCUGCUCCACCGUCGUGUUCCUUGGUCAUCGUCGAAGUGCAUAAACCUUUGCAGCUGUGAAUGAUCCAAAAGAAGUGAUUCCGUACAUAAGCCCAGCCCCAAUUUAGUAAAAGUUUACCAAUUAUUCCAACUCACAUUAUACGAAGUCAGGAAAAACUUCUUUGAAGUUCCAGUUGAUCAAUGAACGUGCAGAUUUCUCCUUUGCGCUAUUUUUAAGGUAGACUGUUAAAUGUGCUUCCAAGCUCUUUCAGGUGUUCUAAUAUUUAAUAUCUCCUUCUCAUUCUAACUAAAGCAUGCUCAUUUGUCAAUUGAUUCUCACCUUAGAUGUACCAUGGCAACCAUUAUUUUCCACUAAUGCACUUAAUAUGGAACCAACAUAUGUUCAUUCAGACUUUGUACUUCAUUUGUGGGUUGACUUAUAGUUAUCUGAUUGAACACUGCAGAGCUUCUGUCAGUUUCCAAUUUCAUAUCAUUUGUGAAUCCUAAAGUGCCUCUGUUUCCACGACUUGCUCAGGGGAAGUCUUGGGAUCAAAUAAGUUUUUCUUCAUGCUUUGAGGUCCUUCAUAUUUUGGUCACACAAUACUAUUCAUUACUUCUAUUUCUCCUACUAUGCCUUUGCUUGUGAUGCAGUUCCUAAAUAUGAAGCAUGUUAACAAGUAUCCUAUGUAGAGUUAAUAAUAGAGUUGAUGUGGGAUUGAAUUAAAACUUCAUACUAAGGAUGACUUGCAAUAAUCUUCUUUAAAACCUCUUCACUUUGUUUGAUCUCUACAUGACUUCCCUUGUCCCCUUUCUCCCUGAUCCAAUUUCUACAAUUUAUGUACCUUCCAUAUCUGUCUAGUUAGCUUUAUUAUCUUCUGCACCAAUUGAAUCAGAAAAAGUUGGACACAAAAAUAUAUUAGGCCAAUGUUAUUAUAUAUAUAGCAACUUAUCCAAGAAAAAAAAGGGGUUUGUAUUAUGGUUAUUGACCAACUGGUGUGCAACCUAGCUAAGUGAUGAAACGUAGUUAUGAAGAAGUACAUAUGGGGUUACUCAGUCGUAUGGGUUUUUCUGUUCUUGAUGUUGUUAACCAUUGGAGUUAAAAUAUAUAGUAUGAAUGCAACAAGUGCAUUAUGCAUUGGAAAAACAAAAUGGGUUAAAGAACCCAUAGUUCCCUACUCCCCUUUUUUGCCUUGAAAAGAACUUCUGAAGGUUUUGUUGUUAUGAUUGAAUAAUGUUUUGUGUAAGAUGUCUGAAUGUUAACAAUGAUAACUUUUAAGCAAAUAUAAUUCCUUUUGACUUACCUUUGGUAGGGAUUCAAUAUAGUUUUCAGAGAUCUCCAUUUCUGAUAGAGUUUGAGCAUUUAUGGCCAUACCUGCUUUAAGAGCUUGGUUCACAUUAUCUUUCUGAUACUGGACAAACCUUGUUGCUGCAUCAGAUAAUAAGAGUCUAAAGGGAACCUUAGGUGUAGUUAUAUAACUUUUCUUUUUUGUCUAAAUUAGUAUAUUCUCGCAAGACAAUAGUCGGAUAAUAUCAUUGUAAAUAGGAAAGCUCUCUCUCUCCAAAUUUUAGAUAACUUGAUUGUAGUAUAUAUUUUUCAUAAAUGAAUGAUUAGAUAAGCUGCGACUGGGUGCUUACAGUGACAUGAAUCUCACAUGAUCGCAACAUGUCCGUGGAGUUUAGCCAAAAUCUGUGCACUCCAUUAGAAAAGCUGUAGCACUGCUUGUCCGGAACUUGGAAGUUUGAGUUACUUUAAGGAAGACGGGUGAAACCACCAGCUGUGCCUAUGGAGGAAAGAAACAGUGGUCAGACAGAUAAUCAAUAGCAAAAGGAUUAGAUGCAAAAUGGGCUGAGGCACCAUUGUUGCAGAUCAAAGAUGAUUAGAUCUUUCUCCUCGAAUAUUUACUAUGUUUUUUUUGGAAGGCAAAUAUUAAGUAGUAUCUGCGAGGAAGAGGCUUGAUACUAAUGAUAUAUGGACAAGAUUUUUGUUCAUGGUUGGCAAGAAUAUGGUUGAUAUUGCAGGUUAA